GAUGAACGCUGGCGGCGUGCCUAAUACAUGCAAGUCGAGCGAACAGACGAGGAGCUUGCUCCUCUGACGUUAGCGGCGGACGGGGGAGUAACACGUGGAUAACCUACCUAUAAGACUGGGAUAACUUCGGGAAACCGGAGCUAAUACCGGAUAAUAUAUUGAACCGCAUGGGUCAAUAGUGAAAGACGGUUUUGCUGUCACUUAUAGAUGGAUCCGCGCCGCAUUAGCUAGUUGGUAAGGUAACGGCUUACCAAGGCGACGAUGCGUAGCCGACCUGAGAGGGUGAUCGGCCACACUGGAACUGCGACACGGUCCAGACUCCUACGGGAGGCAGCAGUAGGGAAUCUUCCGCAAUGGGCGAAAGCCUGACGAAGCAACGCCGCGGGAGUGAUGAUGGUCUUCGGCUCGUAAAACUCUGUUAUUAGGGAAGAACAAAUGUGUAAGUAACUAUGCGCGUCUUGACGGUACCUAAUCAGAAAGCCCCGCCUACCUCCGU
rnacentral:rRNA from 1 species